rnacentral:lncRNA from 1 species
CAUUUUUAAAUACUUUUAGUUCACAUUUUUUAAUGUUUAAAAACUAUGUUAACAGAGCAGUUAUAGAACAGAACUUCUUAUAUUUCUUUAUUUACACCACACUCUGAAAAAAAAAACCCAGUUCUAUUUGAUUAACUAUGAAUAGCAAAGUUUUGUGACUUGUGACUCACUUAAAUCACCCAUCUGAAAUUCAUUUACAAGGUUUUUACAUUAAUAAAACAGUAGUGUGGUACAUGUAUUGGACUCAGAUGAAGUCUAAAGUACACUGGACUCUAGAGAGUGGAUUACAUACCAACGACCAAGAUUCAAGUGUUUGGGGAAAAAAAUACCUUAGACAGUCUAUGUUGGCGUCAACACUAAAAUAAAAGGCAAACAUGCAGGACUUUCAAAGCUUGAUUAGAUAAUGGUUCUUUGUUUUCUUUCCUUCAAAUUUGUGCUCAUAAUUAAUAUUCAGGUUCCAAGUUUACAUUGAGAGAACUAUGUUACCUGGGAGAGAAUGUAAAUUUUUCUAAUUCCCAAACAAAACCACUAAUUUCUAGGAAACAUUUAUUGUUUAUAUGCAGAUCCUAGAGACUUCUAUUUCAGUGCAGAUCAACAACUUCAAAAAUAUACAGCCUCCUAUUUAUUUACAAUAAUAUUUACAUACAAAUGAAGUAUUUCCUGCAAUAAGCCUCAGCUGCAUAGAUUCUUCCUUUAAAAACGUAAAUUUGAGCCUGUAUACAGAUGGGCCCAGUUUCAUAGCCCUUCCUUAGAUAAAAGCCUAAAGAAGGAAAAUGUCUGCACCUUGUGAACUUUACAUAUUUUGCAAGAACUUUCUCUUUGAGAUUUAGUGAUAGUUUUUAGUUGUUAGACACCCCACCUUCAGCUUGUACCUGAAAGCUUUAUCUCGUUAUAAAUAAUUCACUGUAAUUUAGGGGAAGUAUGUCCUGUUGCUAAAGGAUUCUCAAACCUGCCAUCCCCAAGGAAAAUCAUGUAUUAGUAUUGCUAAAUGAUGGUCUGUAUAUUCUUUGUUUUGAAGGUGGCUAGAUGUUUGCUGUAAACUUGAAUGGGAGAAUUAUAUUCUUAAAGUUUACACCCCCUAUAAGCCUAAAGCCAUUUAAAUUGAUAAACUGAGAGAGACUAAUAGAUUUUGCUCUAAGGUAUAAAAUCCAUUAUCUGAUCAUAUUCCUGACCUCCCCCCGACUCCAACUAAAUGUGCCAUAGUCCAACACUGUGCCUCACUGAAUUGGAACUCAGUAUUUCAUUCUUUUGAGAGCAGUUUGUAGCUCCUUAAGCAGAGCAGACCUUUCAGUAGAGAAUUCGCUUUAAAAGGAGGACAGGAUUAUCACCACACGAUUAACACAAACACUGGAGAACUUCUGACACAAAUUCAGUAUUUCUUCUAAGUCUGCAUUUACAAAGGGUCUUUUAUUUUAAUUUCUUUCACAACUGCCUCGCCCCAACCAAAGCCUCACUUUCAUUUCCUCACAGCUUUAAAAAAUAAAAUAUUAUCAUGCCUCAGCCCGAGGUAACACCGAGUGCAGGCAGCCUGUGUUUAGGAAUUUGCACCUGCGCUGCUAUUUUCAACGAGAAGGGGAUAACCAGGUGGCAGCGCUGGAUUCACUCACUUUCUUGCCAUUGCAGAGACCCCUGCCGCCAGGCUCCUUUCCUCCCCUCCCUAAAGCCUGGCUCCUGUAUGUUGCACCAUGAGUCCUAGGAAUCAUCUGGUGAGGGAGGACUAAUGGGAAGUAAAAGGGAGACUCAUUGGCUUAGGGUGGUUCUCAAACUUGAUGCGCUUUAGAAUCAUUUGCUGAGUCCCUCCCUGAGAGCUUCUGACUUCACCAUGUCUGGGAGGGGGCUGAGAAUCUGCAUUCUAAUGAGGUCCCCGAUGAUGCUGAUGCUACUGGUCUAGGGGCCACACUUUGAGAACCACUGGCUUAGAGGCAUGAAUCAAGCUCUAGAAAGCAGUCAGUUCCAGGGUAAUAGUCUUAGGUGCUCGCCGAAGCACUGAGGAAUCUUACCACAACCCUGUGUCCACCACAAGCCCUAUCACCAUCACCCAUCUGGGUGCUUCUUUUUCUCAACAGGGUCUGUAACUGUAAAAAAGGAAAGUGGGUGGAGAGGUUUUUUUUUCCCCCUUUUUUCUUGUUUUCUAACCUCCCAGCUUAUUCCUGGAGAGUUAAAACACAGUUACUAGCACUAAAAACAUUAAAAGUGCUGCGCGCUGGCCUCAAUGACUGGUACAUUGGAGAAGCUAUGCAGCAGCAUCCUUUUCUGUGGUGGGCAGGGCAGGAGAUGAACCAUAGGAGCCAAAAGUCAGACAAACAGAAGAAGGCACACCAAGCCUGAACCCUCCGGACAACAGCAGAGUUACCAGCUGAGGGAUGUCCCUGGAGGUUUCUGACCCAUGAGAGGCCCCCUCACCCUCCUUCACCCUCCUCCUACCACCAAGCUCUCCAGCAGUCAUGGACUUAUUCCUCCCCGUUUUUACUGGACACCAUGUUUCAGGCCAAUCUGGUCACCUGUAGUCUGGUGGCAUCUCUACCCCUACUGUCCAGUAGGUGGGAUGUGGCUGGGAUGGACAGUCCAGAUUCUACUAACAGGCAACUCUGAACAAACACCCUCCCUGGAAACAAUAUUAUAUUUGAUGGUUAGAUUCUUUAGCAAACCUAUUACAUUAUUCGAUGUCAGCUAACCUAUUGGUUUGAUCAUCUUUUCCAGCUGCUCUAGGGGCCUAACCACCAUGGAUAACCUGGUCUCUAAAGGAAAAUACAUUCCAGGUUGCAAACAACCAACUGACAACCUUUUGGAAUAUGAUCUCCUUAUACACUGGGGCUGCCUGUGCCUAAACACAGUAGAUUUCCCUCCUGUGCGUAUUUCAUCAGCCCCACUUCCAAUAAGUAACAUUAAGUAAAUUAGGGAUUGACAGUAUUCUGUGUUACAAUAACUAGAGAACAGUUCUAAGUCCAAAGUGUGGAACUGGCACUGUUCACUAGUAUAGAGAUCCUACCUACCAAAGGAAAACGUGCUGCUCCCCAUGCCUAGGGUAUAGUAUUCUUUAAUCUACUAAUUUAGCAGAAAAACUUCCAUAGCACUUGACUGUGCUGUUUAAAUUCGACCUAACAUCUGUGAUACAUGUAUUUUUGGCUACCAAUUAACUAUUCUGAAUAAGAAUAAGAGCAGUAUACUUUACAGCUAAUCUCACACAAAGGAUGUAACUAAUCAGUGAUAUUUGACGAAUUAUGGUAGGGUCUAUUAUAUUCAGUCAACAACAAAUUUAGAGAAACAUACAAAGGUUUUUAAAAAUAUGGGUGGUGUCACACAGAUCAACAACACUGUGCCUCCUCUAAAUAAAUCUAUUUUAAAUAAAUAUUCCUUGUAUUGACACAUGAAACCCAGAGGCCCAAAAAUAUCACUACACAUCCCAGUUAAUGAUAAGGUUCUAAAUUGACUUUGUGAGGGUAAAAUGAAUUGCUAUAAAGUAACAAGGAAAAUAGAAAGUAGCAUAAUAUAGCUUGCAAACUAAAUUAUGUAUUUUUAAAGGUACAGUCAUCCCACUACCUGGCUAUUUCAUUACUUGGUGCUCUAGACAAGCUCCCAAGAACUGACUGGAUCUUGGCUUGUUCUGUUUCUGUCAUUGCUAAUAUAAUAUGGAAAACAUUGCUGAAAAGAACAGAGAUGGCCAUGGAUAUGGCUAGGUUAGGUAUUCAUAUCCAAAUAUCUGAACUCUAACCUAAUGUGGAUAUGAUUCUGUAGCAUUAUAUUAAAAGCUAUGAUGAUGCAAUGCAGGAAAUAACCUUUCAUUCUCCCCCCUAGAGGAUCACGACAGGUGCUUCAAUGCCUGCCUUAUCUAUGGGACAGUAGUGUGAUUCUCAGUGAGAGUGAAGGCCUUUGGGGAUUUGAGUCAGGAAGGGAACAUGGCUAAGUGCCUGGAAACUCUGCCAACAGUCUGCGGUUAGAUUCUACUUGUCUCUGGAUAAGAAAUCUGUGCUCAGUGAACUUAUGUGUUUGGAAAAUUUAACCAGAAUAUAGAGGAAGCAUAAGUCCUGUUUCAAGAGACCAGCUCACGGAGCAUGCACAUUUCUCACCAUAGGCAAGCUAUGGACAAUUCAAUCACAUGGGAUGGCCCCACUUAGGGGAAUGCAGUUCUGGGUUUCCUUGCUAUCCCUAUUCUUUUUCAGCUACAAACUCUCUUCUUUUUCAGUCUCUUCAGUUUCCUUGUGCUCCCUUUAGGAGAGGGACAAGGGUAAGAGUACCAGGCAACUCUGUCCUCCUGCAUGGACAGUUGAGACGGGCAGUAAUGGCACAGUCCUUGGUUGGGGAAGAGAAGAGGAGACAGCACAGACACUGAGACCCCCUUGUCUUCCUCAUCUGGGGGAAGGAAGGUACUCAGUGAUUCUGUCAGAAGCUCUUCACAAAGACUAUCUCUGAGGGUUUUUUUUUUUUUUUUUUCACAAGACUAGAUGGAGAAUUAAUGAAGAAGAAAUAGAAAUGAGGCUUAUUUAAGGUACAAAAUUCUUGUAUUUGUAAUAACCUAGAUUUAUAGAUAUAAAACAAGUCUUUUAAAGACUUCCCUAAAAUACUCAAUAUAAAACAGGAGUUACUUAUCCU